rnacentral:lncRNA from 1 species
UGUAUGUAUGUAUGUAUGUAUGUAUGUAUAUUGAGAAAUGUGAAGCGGGGCAUCCGUUAUACAGUAAAUGAAAUGUGUAGGUCAGAGUCUCACCUGUGUCUGGUUCCCUGGCUCCCCCUGCUGGUCACUGAGUGGUAGAGUCCUGGCCAGGGCAGAGAUGGCACUAGCCCUCACAUAGCUCUCCUGAUCACACAGCGCCUCCAGCAGGAUAGGAGUGACCGUGCAGCUUAACGCCUCACACAGCUGGCCGAGGAACUCUAGAGUGGAGUCUAGAACCUCCCAACGCACAUCACACACACGCUUCUUUAGCACGGGAAGGAGGUCUGUUACAACACACACACACACGCUUCUUUAGCACGGGAAGGAGGUCUGUUACAACACACACACACACACACACACGCUUCUUUAGCACGGGAAGGAGGUCUGUUACAACACACACACGCUUCUUUAGCACGGGAAGGAUGUCUGUUACAACAUACACACACACACACGCUUCUUUAGCACGGGAAGGAGGUCUGUUACAACACACACACACUUCUUUAGCACAGGAAGGAGGUCUGUUACAACACACACACACACACGCUUCUUUAGCACAGGAAAGAGGUCUGUUACAACACACACACACACGCUUCUUUAGCACGGGAAGGAGGUCUGUUACAACACACACACACACACACACACACGCUUCUUUAGCACGGGAAGGAGGUCUGUUACAACACACACAGGAAAAAACAUCAGUAUAAAUAUCUGUUAAGCAACAUCUGACCAGAUAUAUUGAUGUUGACUCCCUGCACCUUCAGUGACCAGAUAUAUUGAUGUUGACUCCCUGUACCUUCAGUGACCAGAUAUAUUGAUGUUGACUCCCUGUACCUUCAGUGACCAGAUAUAUUGAUGUUGACUCCCUGUAUCUUCAGUGACCAGAUAUAUUGAUGUUGACUCCCUGUACCUUCAGUGACCAGAUAUAUUGAUGUUGACUCCCUGCACCUUCAGUGACCAGAUAUAUUGAUGUUGACUCCCUGCACCUUCAGUGACCAGAUAUAUUGAUGUUGACUCCCUGUACCUUCAGUGACCAGAUAUAUUGAUGUUGACUCCCUGUACCUUCAGUGACCAGAUAUAUUGAUGUUGACUCC